AUUGAACGCUGGCGGCAGGCCUAACACAUGCAAGUCGAACGAGUGGCGGACGGGUGAGUAAUGUCUGGGAAACUGCCCGAUGGAGGGGGAUAACUACUGGAAACGGUAGCUAAUACCGCAUACCAUCGGAUGUGCCCAUAUGGGAUUAGCUAGUAGGGGGGGUAACGGCUCACCUAGGCGAAGAUCCCUAGCUGGUAUGAGAGGAUGACCAGCCACACUGGACCUGCGACACGGUCCAGGCUCCUACGGGAGGCAGCAGUGGGGAAUAUUGCACAAUGGGCGCAAGCCGGAUGCAGCCAUGCCGCGUGUAUGAAGAAGGCCUUCGGGUUGUGAAGUACUUUCAGCGAGGAGGCGUUACUCGCAGAAGAAGCACCGGCUAACUCCGUGCCAGCAGCCGCGGUAAUAC
rnacentral:rRNA from 1 species